UACGGGGGGGGCAAGCGUUGUUCGGAAUUACUGGGCGUAAAGGGCUCGUAGGCGGCCAACUAAGUCAGACGUGAAAUCCCUCGGCUUAACCGGGGAACUGCGUCUGAUACUGGAUGGCUUGAGUUCGGGAGAGGGAUGCGGAAUUCCAGGUGUAGCGGUGAAAUGCGUAGAUAUCUGGAGGAACACCGGUGGCGGAGGCGGCAUCCUGGACCGACACUGACGCUGAGGAGCGAAAGCCAGGGGAGCAAACGGG
rnacentral:rRNA from 1 species